AUUGAACGCUGGCGGCAGGCCUAACACAUGCAAGUCGAGCGGAGCGGCGGACGGGUGAGUAAUGCCUAGGAAUCUGCCUGGUAGCGGGGGAUAACGUCCGGAACCGGGCGCUAAUACCGCUUACUAUCAGAUGAGCCUAGGUCGGAUUAGCUAGUUGGUGGGGUAAAGGCCUACCAAGGCGACGAUCCGUACCUGGUCUGAGAGGAUGAUCAGUAACACUGGAACUGAGACACGGUCCAGACUCCUACGGGAGGAAGCAGUGGGGAAUAUUGGACAAUGGGCGAAAGCCUGAUCCAGCCAUGCCGCGUGUGUGAAGAAGGUCUUCGGAUUGUAAGGCACUUUAAGUUGGGAGGCGUUACCAACAGAAUAAGCACCGGCUAACUUCGUGCCAGCCGCCGCGGUAAUAC
rnacentral:rRNA from 1 species